rnacentral:rRNA from 1 species
CCUACGGGAGGCAGCAGUGGGGAAUAUUGCACAAUGGGGGAAACCCUGAUGCAGCGACGCCGCGUGAGUGAAGAAGUAUUUCGGUAUGUAAAGCUCUGUCAGCAGGGAAGAAAAUGACGGUACCUGACCAAGAAGCCCCGGCUAACUACGUGCCAGCAGCCGCGGGAAUACGUAGGGGGCAAGCGUUAUCCGGAUUUACUGGGUGGAAAGGGAGCGUAGACGGCAGGGCAAGUCUGGAGUGAAAGGCGGGGGCGCAACCCCCGGACUGCUCUGGAAACUGCCAGGCUGGAGUGCAGGAGAGGUAAGUGGAAUUCCUAGUGUAGCGGUGAAAUGCGUAGAUAUAAGGAAGAACACCAGUGGCGAAGGCGGAUGACUGGACGGCAACUGACGGUGAGGCGCGAAAGCGUGGGGAGCAAACAGGAUUAGAUACCCUUGUAGUC